AGGGAUGUAUUGUUUUAUUAUUGUCCAGUAGGUUAUAGUGGGUUCGGGGGUUCCCAUUGUUGGGUCCCCCGUUUUAAGGGGGGGUGAUGCCCUGUGGGGUCAUGAGUGGGUGUGGUCUAUCUCUCUCUCCCUUGCAGAUCAAGAGCUCGUUAUGGUAACUGGAAGCACCUGGGCCCAGUGUCUUUUGAGGUUAGACUAUUUUUAACCCUGUCUUUUCAUUCUGCAGGAGGCUGCUGUUGACACCAGGUCAGACCUCCCUGCGGGCUGGCUCCCCGGUUUCCCCUUCAGUUUGGUUUUGGAUAAUUGCUUUGUAGUAUUGACCUUUUUUUCCACCUUCAACACCACCUUCACACAUAUUCAUGCAACCAUCAUCCUGUGAGGAUGAUGCUGAGAAACCAGCUGAGAAACCAGCGGAUGUGUUGCUGAAGAUUUGCAGCUCUAUUUUAAGAAAUGUGAAGUUCCUGGGGCCAGAGCGGGCGACACUGAAUCCUAUUUAAAACUACCGACAGUGUGAUGUCAAGUUGCUCUGUGUUGCCACAAGAGGUCUCAACAUGACUGUGUAAAAAGAGCUCCCAUAACACCUUGAUAACCAGAAAUAUGGGAGACAUGGGAUUGAUUUAAAUUCACCUAAAUAGUGUUUUAGACGGCUAGCUGUAGUCUCGCGCUGAAGUGCCGUGGGAACUCAGUUGUUGCCGGAAAAAAGUAAAUAGCAGUGUGCAGGUGGGAGGAGCGUAGUGUGUGAAUAGUGAAGAAAUUGUUCGCGUUUGUGCCAUUCCAAAUUGUGGUAACAGAAUGCGAAAAUACAAGAACCUUUUUCCAGCAAAUUAUUACAUUAUUAUAAAACAAGUUAUUUGGUUAUA